GUGAAGAACGCAGUGAAAUGCGAUAAGUAGUGUGAAUUGCAGAAUUCAGUGAAUCAUCGAAUCUUUGAACGCACAUUGCGGCCAUAGGUAUUCCUUUGGCCAUGCCUGUUCGAGCGUCAUUUACACCCUCAAGCCUAGCUUGGUGUUGGGCGCCUGUCCCGCCGUUUUCGCGCGCGGACUCGCCUCAAAGUCAUUGGCGGCGGUCGUGCCGGCCCCCUCGCGCAGCACAUUUGCGCUUCUCGGAGGCCCGGCGGAUCCGCGCUCCAGCAAGACCUUUCACGACUUGACCUCGGAUCAGGUAGGGAUACCCGCUGAACUUAAGCAUAUCAAUAAGCGGAGGA
rnacentral:misc_RNA from 1 species